CCUACGGGCGGCAGCAGUCGAGAAUCAUUCACAAUGGGGGAAACCCUGAUGGUGCGACGCCGCGUGGGGGAAUGAAGGUCUUCGGAUUGUAAACCCCUGUCAUGUGGGAGCAAAUUAACAAGCUAGUACCACAAGAGGAAGAGACGGCUAACUCUGUGCCAGCAGCCGCGGUAAUACAGAGGUCUCAAGCGUUGUUCGGAAUCACUGGGCGUAAAGCGUGCGUAGGCUGUUUCGUAAGUCGUGUGUGAAAGGCGGGGGCUCAACCCGCGGACGGCACAUGAGACUGGCAGACGAGAGUAAAGGAGGGGGAACCGGAAUUCGCGGUGGAGCAGUGAAAUGCGGAGAUAUCGGGAAGAA
rnacentral:rRNA from 1 species